UUAUGGAAGAAGAAAAUUAGGACUUCUGCUUUCACUCCAACUGUGUCAAUUCCGAUUCCACUCUUUACCAAUGCUCCAACAUUAGCGUUGUUCUUCUGAUCUGCAAUGAAUCGUCUCAAGGCAAUUGUUGCGAACAUCAACUUCCUCGAGUCGCCACUCGCCAGCCGAGUCACUGCAACUCGGUCUCUUUAACUCACUCGGAAUCAGGAGACUGAUACCAUUUCUAAAUCCAAAAACACUCAAGAUUGCUAAGGCGAAUGCUUCAGCCAUCUUGCUCUCUGGAUCAGCCAUUUAGUGCUGCUAGCUGCUCAUCAUUGUAUUGUAUAUUAUAACGAGAAUGCUUAAGGGCACGAUACCUUCUUCGACUACCGGUACACGAAAUGCUAAAAUAAAUUAUCCGUGUUGCUGUUUGGUCUGCAUCUUUCCAUUUAUUUUUCUUCUAAUAAUUUGUUUGUCAAGAGUAGCAUUUAUUUACUGUUGUAAUUAAAAGAGAUUCAGUUGCAUAGGAGGUCUUGAAUUUGGUUUGAAGAGGGCAAAUGAAAGCUCAUGUUGAGACGAAGGACACUUUGAUGAGCUUUGAGCUACAAUACACUUGAAGGAACCUAAUAGGCUGAAGAAAUUAUACUCUGGAUUGUAGUUAAGUGAUGCAAAUGAAAACCUUUGUUCGUUUUUAA